rnacentral:rRNA from 1 species
UACGUAGGCAGCGAGCGUUGUUCGGAGUUACUGGGCGUAAAGGGUGUGUAGGCGGUUCUUUAAGUUUGGCGUGAAAUCUCCCGGCUCAACCGGGAGGGUGCGUCGAAUACUGAGGGACUAGAGUACGGGAGAGGAAAGUGGAAUUCCUGGUGUAGCGGUGAAAUGCGUAGAUAUCAGGAGGAACACCGGUGGUGUAGACGGCUUUCUGGACCAUAGCUGACGCUGAGACACGAAAGCGUGGGUAGCAAACAGG